AUGGAAGAGAGUGGACGGGGAAAGGUGCACCCAGCUUGUUUCUCUGUUUCUCACCGCUCCAGCCUGUCAGCAACAGAGCUUCGCAGAGCCUGUCUUCAGAUUAACAGUCUUGGUCCCUUGCCGGCCAUACCGAGACAACCCACCUUCCCCGACGGGACAGCUGAAAUCAGCGGGGUGCACCUUCCUGUCUGUGGUGGCAAGAAAUCUUCGGCAGGUGACAAGAUCCCGGACGUGGCCCCAAAUUGUGAGAAAAAUCUCAAUAAUUUUCUUCAGACGGGAUCUUCUGCGAAGCUAUUUUAUUCACGAUUGCAAUGUCGGGCGUCCUGUCAAUUAGGAGUGCAUUUUAGUAAACAAAUCAUAACCUUUUAUUCCCUAUUACCUGACACCUGAUCACCUCCCCUGUUUCCUCAUUGGCUGAGUACUACAGGUUCACAAGCUACUAAGCACUUCUCUAUACCAUAUAUGUGCAAUUUUUCUUUUUUUUUCAACCCUUUAACUUCUCCUUUUUCCCUUUUAUUUCCCUUUCUUAUGUUUUGAGAACUUGUGAUCUUUGUUUUACUGUUCUCACGCUGCUCAUCCUGUUUUUCUCAAGGUUCCACCUUAUUUUGGAACAGUGAGGCCUUCUACUGUCCACUUAUCUACUUAGCAUUUCUCCUUGUUAUGACUACACAACUACCUUGGAAUACAGAAAAUUAGUUCUCUACUGCAAAAACACAACUUAGUUUCUCACACAUAGGCAGGGCCAUUGUCGGUUUUUAUUUCCUUUGGGAUGCCUUGCGCUGCGACAGCGACACAGAAGUGAGCCUGGACAUGGCGACUAGUUUCACCCGCUGCAGCUGUCGCCCAAAUAGCAUGAGAGAAAGUAUCUACCGAUACGUGAACAUAUUUCAAGCGACCAAAUUCUGGAAUAUGCAUUACGUCUGUCUGCCAUAACUGUAAGGACCGUAGUCCUCUAGGGUUUACCGUUAAAGACGGGGUCGAAACAUGUUGUUGACAGUCAGGACAUGUUUGGACAAUCAAUUUGGCAUCAGUGAUCGAUAUAGCGAAUUGUUUCGCCAAGACUUUGGCAGAUUGAUGGAAAAAGGCAUGGGAUAACCAUGCUUGCUCCAGCCCCUUAGGCACCGGGGCAGUCAGGGUCAUAUUAGCUGGUCAGCACGUGCGUUACCCUCUGCAAAAACACUGGGUAACAUGGUGUGGCUCCGCAUGUGAAUAAUACAAUACAGGUGCACUCACUGCUCUACCAAAAAUAACAGCUCCUUAAAUUUUAGAAACAAGUUUUCCCUUGGGAUAUGUCUCAAAUGUGCCCUCUCAAUGCACUGAGCGACACCUACAGCAUAUUGCGAGUCCGACACAAUAUUCAAAGGUACUGUUGGCCAGCGCUUGAAAGCCA
rnacentral:lncRNA from 1 species